CAUAGGGUCUCAUGGGGUCCUAUGGGGUCUUAUGGGGUCCUGUGGGGUCCUACGGGGUCCUAUGGGGUCCUGUGGGGUCUUAUGGGGUCCUAUGGGGUCCUAUGGGGUCCUAUGGGCUCUUAUGGGGUCUCAUGGGGUCUCAUGUGUUCCUAUGGGGUCCUAUGGGCUCUUAUGGGGUCCUAUGGGGUCUCAUAGGUCCCAUGUGUUCCUAUGGGGUCCCAUGUGUUCCUAUGGGCUCUUAUGGGGUCCCAUGUGUUCCUAUGGGGUCCCAUGUGGUCCCAUCUGUUCCUAUGGGGUCCUAUGGGGUCUCAUAGGGUCUUAUGGGGUCCUAUGGGGUCCUAUGGGGUCUUAUGGGGUCUCAUGGGGUCCUAUGGGGUCUGAUGGGGUCUUAUGGGGUCCUAUGGGCUUCUAUGGGGUCCCACGGGGUCCUAUGGGGUCCUAUGGGGUCUUAUGGGGUCCUAUGGGGUCCCAUGGGGUCCUAUGGGGUCUCAUGCUUUCCUAUGGGGUCCUAUGGGGUCUCAUAGGGUCUUAUGGGGUCCUAUGGGGCCC